ACAGAGAUGACUUUUAUAGAGAAAACUUUUGUCAUCGUUAUUGGCUGGAUCCAGGAUGAGGCUAAGCAAUUGGAGGCCCAUCCGAUCUUCCAUGACAUCUGGAGUUUGCAUCGUGAUUUCAUCGUGAUGUCUGUUCGGCAUGUCUUUCGAUAGGUGAAUAUCGCAGCAAAUUGGGUUAUAUCAUACGUUGUCGAGUACACCAGAGACUGGACCUGACAAAAGGUGAGGCUUACCCAC
rnacentral:lncRNA from 1 species